GGUAAUCUGCACGCAUACUUCAUUUGUGCACAAUUAUUUUGCUCUGUAAGCCCUAUCAGAUUCACGUCUGAAAAAGAUGUGUGUCAUAGCACAUCUAAGUUUGGUACUGAUCAAGAGUUCUCAAUCUGAGGAUAUAUGAUUUACCUUUAAGAAUCCGUGAAAACAAGAAAUUCACACUCAUGCUCCAAGAAUCAAAGUGGUAUUCCAGUUGGGUGAAAUAACAAAUUUGUCGUAUCCCGAUUAAGAAACAUCUCUGCUCAUUUAAAGUAGCAACUAAUAUGUAGAUAACUUCGUAUCUAGUUUUUUUCGUUUUGAGAACUGUACCCAUAUGAUCUCUAAAGCAAGGAAAUUUGGUUUCUGAAAAAAUAUUUUGAGCUAAUAAAGUAAAGGUAGUAUUAACAUUCCUCUUUAGGCGACAAUCAAGCAUCAUUUCAUUUCCCCCAUUUGCUUUAAACUGGUACUUAAUUUACAUAUUUGAAAGCUUGGCCAGAUAUUCAUGGUUGCUACUUGCUAGCAAUUUAAACCUCCAGGUUUGGAUAAUCUUUUAUUUUAAUAGUUGCUUUGAUAAUUUCGGAAAAGCCUCUUAUGGAUUCACAGAUUUCUGUGACAAAUUUAUGAUGUUUGACUAGUUCUGGAUUUUGUUGACAUGCAUUUAUAUAUAAAUGGGGGGUCGCAGGUUCAUACAUGCAAUAAGCUAGCUAGUAGACAUGUGAGAGUUGGGCUUGCUGAUCCCAUUGAUGUGCCUCGUUGCGAUAUAUGUGAAAACUCACCUGGUAUGCAGACCUUUGACUUGCAUUUUCUCCUUGUAUUAUAAUAUUUUGUUUCAAUAAGAUUGUUAAUUGUGAUCUAAAAAAAUAAAUUAAAAUAAACCAUUUGUCCAGCAUAUUUUUAUUGUGAAGUGGAUGGAAGCUCCCUUUGUUUGCAAUGCGAUAUGGUUGUACAUGUUGGAGGCAAAAGAACUCAUGGAAGAUAUCUCCUGUUAAGGCAGAGAGUUCAGGUAAUUUUUUCCUUAACUCUUGUAUUUUGUCUAUAUAUGUGAUUCUUUCGUAUCAUUAAAUUGGUUCUUACCAAUGAAUUACUACCUUUGCUUUCUCUACAGUUUCAAGGAAGUACAUCUGGGUGUGAAGAGGAGCUUGGUACCCAACUAAUAGAUUCAGCUGAAAACAAGAGGGAAUAUACUAACUCUACCAAGCCAAUUGUUCAAGAUGAGAAGCAGAAUCUCGAGGCCUCUGCCGUUCCAAAUUUAUACUCCAUUGCUGAUGGACCUGCUAAGAUGGACACUGGAAUGAUUGAUUUGAAUAUGAAGCCACAUCGACUCCAUGACCAAGCUUCAAAUAAUCAGGUAGGCUUACUCUUUCUUGCUAAUAUAAUCUUGAAUUCUGCUUGUAGGAUUUAUUUCCUUUAUCUUAUACAUGACAAGCUCAGUGUUUCUUAUAAUUGGAUGCAUAACUUUGGUAACAUCUAGUGGAUCCAGUGUAGUCUUUAGAAUGUGUAGCCAUUUAUCAUGAAAGAGAAGAAUUAUUUAAGUCAUGUCAGUUGAAGAUUUUUUUUCUUUCUUUUUUUGGGUAUAUUUUUCAGUUUGAAGUUAGUUCAUUAUGUAGUCUCUUCACAUAUCCGCCUAGGACACAAGUAACUGUUGCAUUGAGAGUGCCAAGACCAUUUGAACAUUCCAUUUGUGAACAGAAAAUGAAGAGAUUUAGAGGUGACGAACGUCUUUUCUUUUUGUUUAUGCAAUUUCACUCGAAGUCAUAAGGUUAAAGCAUUUUAUCUUAGAAUGUUAUCUCAAAGGAAUCAAUGGAUUGUUCUUGCUUGAACUAUAAAUAAUUUUCAGAAUAACGCUUUUACUUUUUUUUAGGAUCUAAUGCGAUAGGGUGAAUUGACACAGUUACAUAAUUGUCUUUAAUAUUUUGUCAUUUCUUUAUUUUUCGAUAUCUUACAAGGAUCAAACUAAAGAUCUCCUUUUUUCUUCAACAAUUUCAGAUAUCUAGUUGACCUCUCACUAUAAUUCGAACCCAGAUGAAGUUCUGACCAUUUAUAAGAGAAAAAUGAACAAAAGGAUCUUGUAGGAUUCACAUGAAAUUCUUCGAUUUCUUCAGAAGUGAAUAGCCAAGACAAGGAGCUGCAUUGCCUUCAAUCACUAAAAACAUAUGCUCUUUAGUUUGCUUUUCUGUGGUUAGGAUUGGGUGGGGGUAAUCUGCACGCAUACUUCAUUUGUGCACAAUUAUUUUGCUCUGUAAGCCCUAUCAGAUUCACGUCUGAAAAAGAUGUGUGUCAUAGCACAUCUAAGUUUGGUACUGAUCAAGAGUUCUCAAUCUGAGGAUAUAUGAUUUACCUUUAAGAAUCCGUGAAAACAAGAAAUUCACACUCAUGCUCCAAGAAUCAAAGUGGUAUUCCAGUUGGGUGAAAUAACAAAUUUGUCGUAUCCCGAUUAAGAAACAUCUCUGCUCAUUUAAAGUAGCAACUAAUAUGUAGAUAACUUCGUAUCUAGUUUUUUUCGUUUUGAGAACUGUACCCAUAUGAUCUCUAAAGCAAGGAAAUUUGGUUUCUGAAAACAGGGAUUGUAGAUCUGGCAAAGAUAUCAGAUAGCCUUUCUUACUACUCCUACAUGCUUCUUUUCAAGGCUGGCUCGAGAGGUUUUUGCAACUGUUUUCUGUUCAAGUCAGUCACAAGAGUCAUAGGUGCCAUUAGCGUCUUAUUUUAUAUGGCUUGCAGCUAGUAAUGAAAUGCAGUUGGGUAAAUUUGUUUGUAAAUUUUGUGUCGCCUAAGGUACACCCAUGCAAAUACUCUGUGUUCCUGUUGAAAUAUCUUUUGACAUUUGAGUCUUAUGAUACUUUGUUUAGCUUAAACUGGUUUAUUUUAUAAAAAUGGCUCUUCAUGUCUGAGAAGUAUAUCUUGAGGUUCACCAUAUGUACAUUAAGAUGGCAUCUCACAGGGGAGAUGUCGAUGAUGGGAUCUAAAUGGGUUACUUGUAGUCAAAGGAAUUGAGUUCUAUGUUUGCGAACUCGAUCCAUUUAUGAUUUUAAAAAAUCACCUAAAUAGGGUAUAUGAGAUUUCAUCAAGCCCUUGGGUUUAAUAUUAUCCCGGAAGAUCAUUGUUAUAUAUUAAAUGGCCCACGAGAAAUCUAAUAUAAUCCUUUCAUUGUAGGUCGAUGACAUUUUCAGAAAUGAAUGGUACGAUUACUUAGUGCUUGUGAAGGAUGGUCAUGUUUUAUAUUCGAGAUUAACGAUAUAUUU
rnacentral:lncRNA from 1 species